GCUGGGCAUGGUGGUGCAUGCCUGUAGUCCCAGCUACUCAGGAGGCUGAGGCAGGAGAAUUGCUUGAACCUGGGAGGCGGAGGUUGCAGUGGGCCGAGAUAGCGCCACUGCACUCCAGCCUGGGUGACAGAGUGAGACUCUGUCUCAA
rnacentral:SRP_RNA from 1 species